rnacentral:rRNA from 1 species
UUUCGCAAUGCCCGAAAGGGUGACAAUGCGACGCCGCGUGAGCGAUGAAGGCCUUAGGGUUGUAAAGCUCUGUCAGCAGGGAUGAAAGCUCUUGAGCGAAUAACUUGAGAGUCUGACGGUACUUGCAGAGGAAGCCACGGCUAACUCCGUGCCAGCAGCCGCGGUAAUACGGAGGUGGCAAGCGUUGUUCGGAUUCACUGGGUGUAAAGGUCAUGUAGGUGUCUUAUUAAGUCAGAUGUGAAAUCCCUUGGCUCAACCAAGGAACUGCAUUUGAUACUGGUAAGAUUGAGUACGAGAGAGGUAAGCGGAAUUCCGGAAGUAAGGGUGAAAUCUGUAGAUAUCCGGAAGAACACCAUUAGCGAAGGCGGCUUACUGGCUCGAUACUGACACUGAAAUGAGAAAGCUAGGGUAGCAAACAGGAUUAGAUACCCUGGUAGUCCUAGCUGUAAACGAUGGGCACUAAGUAGAGGGGUUUU